rnacentral:piRNA from 1 species
UAGGAAACUAAAUAAUUUUGA